rnacentral:lncRNA from 1 species
ACAUCCAAGAUGGCGUCCCCAGGAGCUGGGAGCGGGUGACCGGCGGCGGGGAAGCGGCCUGGGUUGGCCCUCAGAUUGCGGGGUCUGGGGGCAUCUCGCCGGGCAAACCCUUGGCCCGCCUACAAGGACUUCCCCCGGCCAGAGCAAUGGCCGCUGAGAACAGCAAGCAGUUUUGGAAGAGGAGCGCUAAGCUGCCGGGGAGGCUGGAGUGCAGUGGCCCGAUCUCCGCUCACUGCAACUUCCGCCUCCCGGGUUCAAGCGAUUCUCCUGCCUUGGCCUCCCGAGUAGCUGGGACUACAGAUGCGUGCCACCACACCCAGCUAAUUUUCUUGUAUUUUCAGUAGAGAUGGGGUUUCACCAUUUUGGCCAGGAUAGUCUUGAUCUCCUGACCUCAUGACCCACCCACCUUGGCCUCCCAAAGUGCUGGGAUUACAGGCGUGAGCCACUAUGACCGGCCUAACACUUUUUUUCUUAAAUGAAAUGUGACAAAUGUUAACAUUUGUAAAUCAGAGUGAUGGGUUUGUGGAUGUUUAUUAUAUCAUUUUCUGUACUUUUCUUUGUGUUUGAAAAUGUCAAUUAAAUGCUUUUUCACUUGUGUUAGA